rnacentral:rRNA from 1 species
ACGGGUGAGUAAUGCGUGGGAAUGUACCUUUUGGUUCGGAAUAACCACGGGAAACUGUGGGUAAUACCGGAUAAGCCCUGCGGGGGAAGAUUUAUCGCCGAAAGAGCAGCCCGCGUUAGAUUAGGUAGUUGGUAGGGUAAAGGCCUACCAAGCCUGCGAUCUAUAGCUGGUCUGAGAGGAUGAUCAGCCACACUGGGACUGAGACACGGCCCAGACUCCUACGGGAGGCAGCAGUGGGGAAUAUUGGACAAUGGGGGCAACCCUGAUCCAGCAAUGCCGCGUGAGUGAUGAAGGCCUUCGGGUUGUAAAGCUCUUUUGUCAGGGACGAUGAUGACGGUACCUGACGAAUAAGCUCCGGCUAACUUCGUGCCAGCAGCCGCGGUAAUACGAGGGGAGCUAGCGUUGUUCGGAAUUACUGGGCGUAAAGGGCGCGUAGGCGGUCCUAUAAGUCAGAUGUGAAAGCCCCGGGCUUAACCUGGGAGGUGCAUUUGAAACUGUAGAACUUGAGAUCGAGAGAGGAAAGUGGAAUUACGAGUGUAGAGGUGAAAUUCGUAGA